CUUCACUGCAGUGAAUCGAAUAGGAGUCCAGUGAAUUUGACUCCAUUGCUGCGUGCCAUUGAAGACAGAAGUUGAACCCAAAGGGGACACGCCAUCAUCUCAAAUUAGUAUCAGAGCAGAGACACCUUACCUGCACUUGUCUACGCUCAUGUCGCUCCCCUGUGGUGUAAAUGGAUGAGUCAUAGAUUCACAGUGUGGAAAAUGAUCAGAGUUCCUCAUAUCAGAAAAGGAUCACAAAUUGCCUACAACGUUCGAUACUGUCUUUGCCUCUGUCGCUGUCACCAUCAGCUGGAUUCUCUCUUCCUUUUUUUGAUGCACGCGGAACGCGUUGUUACCCGGGAGACAUGUGCGCGCGUGCUGGACCGCAGGAGGGGUCUGAAGGGGAUGCAGGACGGCCGGUCAGCGGAGUCAGCGGACACGGAAGAUCAGAUUCGUGCAGGCUUACGACCAACUCUCACACGCCUGGGGCCCCGAGGAAGAGUCAGAAUCGAAGAGGAUACACUUUGAAUCCCAAGCAUCUUUUUUACUAUUAAAAUACAGCAGUA